AUACGUAGGGUGCGAGCGUUGUCCGGAAUUACUGGGCGUAAAGAGCUCGUAGGUGGUUUGUCGCGUCGUCUGUGAAAUUCCGGGGCUUAACUCCGGGCGUGCAGGCGAUACGGGCAUAACUUGAGUACUGUAGGGGAGACUGGAAUUCCUGGUGUAGCGGUGAAAUGCGCAGAUAUCAGGAGGAACACCGGUGGCGAAGGUGGGUCUCUGGGCAGUAACUGACGCUGAGGAGCGAAAGCAUGGGUAGCGAACAGGAUUAGAUACCCUGGUAGUCCAUGCCGUAAACGGUGGGCGCUAGGUGUAGGGGUCUUCCACGACUUCUGUGCCGUAGCUAACGCAUUAAGCGCCCCGCCUGGGGAGUACGGCCGCAAGGCUAAAACUCAAAUGAAUUGACGGGG
rnacentral:rRNA from 1 species